rnacentral:rRNA from 1 species
UACGGGGGGGGUAAGCGUUGUUCGGAAUUACUGGGCGUAAAGGGCUCGUAGGCGGCCAACUAAGUCAGACGUGAAAUCCCUCAGCUUAACUGGGGAACCGCGUCUGAUACUGGAUGGCUUGGAUCCGGGAGAGGGAUGCGGAAUUCCAGGUGUAGCGGUGAAAUGCGUAGAUAUCUGGAGGAACACCGGUGGCGAAGGCGGCAUCCUGGACCGGUAUUGACGCUGAGGAGCGAAAGCCAGGGGAGCAAACGGG